GUAACCCUCUCCUGAUUGGUCUUCCCUAAAGCCGUAUUGCCCCCCUACAGUCUGUAAUGAAUGUCGCCGCCAGACUGAUUUUCCUCUCUAGUCGGUUCUCUCACACCUCACCCCUCUGUCAGGAUUUACAUUGGCUUCCUGUAUGCUAUUGGAGUCAAUCCAAAGUGCUAACCCAUGCCUAUAAAGCACUGAAUAAUCUUAGCCCCUCUUAUAUCUCCUCACAGAUCCAUAGGUAUGCCCCUUCUCGGUCUCUCCGCUCUGCCCGUGACCUUCUUCUGUCAG